UUCGUCCAGCAAAGCCAGGAGGUGUAGAAAACAGACAAUGAAACCAGCUGGGGAAUAGUUUCUCCCCAAUCCCCCUUUUGCACCUUUCUCCGAAGCCCAGUCGAAAAAUUGCCACCUGCUUCCCUCCCUCCCAUCCCGGCACCUCGGUCGUAUGGCAAACUGGCCAUAAAAUUUUUUACUACCCUAGUUCUUCAUUCAGGAAAUAACAGGUUCAUAAACAGUCCAGACAGUAUGGAGCUCCAAUUGCAAGCAAGCCAUCUCUCUCUCUCUCUUUCUCUCUCCCUCCGUCUCCUAUCCCUCUUGCAACAACUUUACUGGGCGUUUCUGAGGAGCCAGCAGGCCCAUGAUUCACCCACUCUCAUUUUUUUUCCCCAUCUGCAAUUUCUGAGGGGAGCUACUGUUUGUGAGGGGCGGGUUGAAAGGACCCCCAGUUUAAAGAUAGGCACAUAGGCCGGGUGCUCCUGGCAGUAGGGAAGCAAUUCCUGCUAAGUUUUUCUUUCUCUUUUGCUGGAAUCUCUGCUCUUAGGUGACCAUUGGGAAAUAUAGAGUUCAUUCUAGGCUACAGUGUUAUCAGGAAUCCACACAACGUGUGGAUGUAAAAUCUCAGAUCUGGGGAAAGCUUAUGAAUGCUGUGGAGUGACCACUUUGAGGCCUCUGGAUGAAAUGAAUCCCCUGCUUCUUUUCUGGAACCACGAAACCUCUGGCACUGUAGCUGCUGAAAUUCACAGUGUUUCCACUUGAGUUGAGCAUGCCAUUCCCAGAUUGGUUCUGCAUCCCUGGGAUACCAGCCUUUUCUUGGAAGUUCAACAUGCACAUAUAAUAAAACAUGGAGGAUUGAGUAAGAGAGAAAUAAUGCCAAAUGCUUGACACUGAGUUGCCUGUAGGACAGCAUCUCUUCCUUGGUUUAAACCUCUGAAGCAUUGCCUUGAAUUGCCUGAUAACAAUUGCUUUCAGUGGGAUGCCUGCUUGGAGACACAUUAUGAAGCAAAGGAAGAUUGGUGAAAAUGCUUUAGCAGGAGGAAGGAGUCCCUUUUCCUCUCCCCAUUGAAAUGACAUGCAUGGCACAUGGGAUUAACAGCCUUUGUGGGAAAAGCUAAAAAGCCUCUUUAAAUUUGGCAUAGGAGUGUGCUGCCUAUAAUGUCACACUUAAUGACUUCUCCUAAUGUUUGAUACCAAAUAAAAUAACCUGGUUUCCUCUAAA